rnacentral:tRNA from 1 species
UCCCUGGUGGCUCAGAUGGUAAAGCGUCUGCCUGCAAUGCAGGAGACCCAGGUUCGAUUCCUGGGUUGGGAA